GCAUCUACGCUCGAUUUUGCCCCGUUGCGCACAUGUAUCCCCACUGAUACGAGAGCGGCGACGCGCGCGAUGUUGAAAUGGGUUGAGCGAAUUGAAUGACUCGUUGGGGGCCAGAGCGCGAACAGCGGACGGCAGGCCGUUUGUAGAUUCUACCACACUGUUGAGCUCGUUUCCAUAAACGCGAGCAUAAUGAAAUUUAAUCUCAAUAUAACGCACUGUUCUACAGUCUACCGCAUGCAACUGUUUGACGAUUGCACCAGGAGCGCAGAAUGGAGUCCGUCUGUCUUGGCGCCAAGUCGCAGUAGCUGCGGAGCCAGUGGCCGCCAUCGACUGCAGCAACAGUGACAAACCAGAUGGAGGGUUCAAUGACAGGCGUAGUCAGCAGCCCGCAGCCCGGGGCCGGUGACCGAACGUCCAAGAUGCCACCCAUCGCGCACUGCGUGGCGUUUUGCGUUGCAUUCGGACUUGUCUUCGCCGUGAGCGGUGCCGUGCUCCUGUCCAGCGGUCUGCCGUACCGGCGGCUCCAGCUGCGCAUCAUCUCCGUGUGCAUGCUCGUUAUGGGUGUCGUCCUCCUGGCCGCUGCUGUCGUGCUCAUCUUCAUGUGGCGCAAUCGCCACCACUUCGGAGCGUUCCACCGAUCCUGCCAUCGGCGCCAGCAGCGCGCGGCUCUCGUCAUCCGCGUGCCCACCGUCAGCGGCACGUACGUGUACUCCCCCACGCCUGCGGGCGCAGCUGCCGGAGCGGCUCCGUCGAGGCCCCCGCCGCCAGCCUACGAGGAGGUGGUGCCACCACCGCCCUCCUAUGAGAGCGUGAUGAUGCUCAAACGGCUUGAGAAGGCCGCUGAGCUGGCGCAUCAGGUGGCCGACAGCGCGCGCAGGGGCUCGGCACCCGCCGCCGCCGAUGUAUAGCGGGACCGUGCGCAGACGAGACUCACACCAAGUCCCGUGAGCAACGCCGCUUUCAUCCGCGGCCCUGCCGAUAGCCGGGCGCGAUGACGUGUGUGCCCGUUUGAACAAUUAUCCAGUCAGCCUC
rnacentral:misc_RNA from 1 species